UUUAUGGAGAGUUUGAUCCUGGCUCAGGAUGAACGCUGGCGGCGUGCCUAAUACAUGCAAGUCGAGCGGAGCCCUUCGGGGCUCAGCGGCGGACGGGUGAGUAACACGUGGGUAACCUGCCUGUAAGACUGGGAUAACUUCCGGAAACGGAAGCUAAUACCGGAUACGUUCUGAGACCGCAUGGUCUCGGAUGGAAAGGCGGCUUCGGCUGUCACUUACAGAUGGACCCGCGUCGCAUUAGCUAGUUGGUGAGGUAACGGCUCACCAAGGCGACGAUGCGUAGCCGACCUGAGAGGGUGAUCGGCC
rnacentral:rRNA from 1 species